rnacentral:rRNA from 1 species
UACGAAGGGGGGCUAGCGUUGUUCGGAUUUACUGGGCGUAAAGCGCACGUAGGCGGAUCGUUAAGUUAGGGGUGAAAUCCUGGAGCUCAACUCCAGAACUGCCUCUAAUACUGGCGAUCUAGAGUCCGGAAGAGGUGAGUGGAACUCCUAGUGUAGAGGUGGAAUUCGUAGAUAUUAGGAAGAACACCAGUGGCGAAGGGCGGCUCACUGGUCCGGUACUGACGCUGAGGUGCGAAAGCGUGGGGAGCAAACAGG